GCCGUCAUGAUGAGAGGCGCAGGGGUACGGACCUCAGCCGAUCGUGGGGGCUGAGUGGCGCCGCCGACGUCCCGUCGCUGGGCGUGUGGCCCGGCGGCGGGCGGGCGGCGACACGACACAGACGCCUGACUGAACGGU